GGGUUGUGAGGUUAAGCGACUAAGCGUACACGGUGGAUGCCCUGGCAGUCAGAGGCGAUGAAGGACGUGCUAAUCUGCGAAAAGCGUCGGUAAGGUGAUAUGAACCGUUAUAACCGGCGAUGUCCGAAUGGGGAAACCCAGUGCAAUUCGUUGCACUAUCGUUAACUGAAUACAUAGGUUAACGAGGCGAACCGGGGGAACUGAAACAUCUAAGUACCCCGAGGAAAAGAAAUCAACCGAGAUUCCCCCAGUAGCGGCGAGCGAACGGGGAGCAGCCCAGAGUCUGAAUCAGCUUGUGUGUUAGUGGAACGGUCUGGAAAGUCCGACGGUACAGGGUGAUAGUCCCGUACACCAAAAUGCACAGGCUGUGAACUCGAAGAGUAGGGCGGGACACGUGGUAUCCUGUCUGAAUAUGGGGGGACCAUCCUCCAAGGCUAAAUACUCCUGACUGACCGAUAGUGAACCAGUACCGUGAGGGAAAGGCGAAAAGAACCCCGGCGAGGGGAGUGAAAAAGAACCUGAAACCGUGUACGUACAAGCAGUGGGAGCACCUUCGGGUGUGACUGCGUACCUUUUGUAUAAUGGGUCAGCGACUUAUAUUCUGUAGCAAGGUUAACCGUAUAGGGGAGCCGCAGGGAAACCGAGUCUUAACUGGGCGUUAAGUUGCAGGGUAUAGACCCGAAACCCGGUGAUCUAGCCAUGGGCAGGUUGAAGGUUGGGUAACACUAACUGGAGGACCGAACCGACUAAUGUUGAAAAAUUAGCGGAUGACUUGUGGCUGGGGGUGAAAGGCCAAUCAAACCGGGAGAUAGCUGGUUCUCCCCGAAAGCUAUUUAGGUAGCGCCUCGUGAACUCAUCUUCGGGGGUAGAGCACUGUUUCGGCUAGGGGGUCAUCCCGACUUACCAACCCGAUGCAAACUACGAAUACCGAAGAAUGUUAUCACGGGAGACACACGGCGGGUGCUAACGUCCGUCGUGAAGAGGGAAACAACCCAGACCGCCAGCUAAGGUCCCAAAGUCAUGGUUAAGUGGGAAACGAUGUGGGAAGGCACAGACAGCCAGGAUGUUGGCUUAGAAGCAGCCAUCAUUUAAAGAAAGCGUAAUAGCUCACUGGUCGAGUCGGCCUGCGCGGAAGAUGUAACGGGGCUAAACCAUGCACCGAAGCUGCGGCAGCGACACUAUGUGUUGUUGGGUAGGGGAGCGUUCUGUAAGCCUGCGAAGGUGUGCUGUGAGGCAUGCUGGAGGUAUCAGAAGUGCGAAUGCUGACAUAAGUAACGAUAAAGCGGGUGAAAAGCCCGCUCGCCGGAAGACCAAGGGUUCCUGUCCAACGUUAAUCGGGGCAGGGUGAGUCGACCCCUAAGGCGAGGCCGAAAGGCGUAGUCGAUGGGAAACAGGUUAAUAUUCCUGUACUUGGUGUUACUGCGAAGGGGGGACGGAGAAGGCUAUGUUAGCCGGGCGACGGUUGUCCCGGUUUAAGCAUGUAGGCUGAUUGUCCAGGCAAAUCCGGAUAAUCAAGGCUGAGGUGUGAUGACGAGGCACUACGGUGCUGAAGUAACAAAUGCCCUGCUUCCAGGAAAAGCCUCUAAGCAUCAGGUAACAUUAAAUCGUACCCCAAACCGACACAGGUGGUCAGGUAGAGAAUACCAAGGCGCUUGAGAGAACUCGGGUGAAGGAACUAGGCAAAAUGGUGCCGUAACUUCGGGAGAAGGCACGCUGGUGUGUAGGUGAAGUCCCUGCGGAUGGAGCUGAGACCAGUCGAAGAUACCAGCUGGCUGCAACUGUUUAUUAAAAACACAGCACUGUGCAAACACGAAAGUGGACGUAUACGGUGUGACGCCUGCCCGGUGCCGGAAGGUUAAUUGAUGGGGUUAUCCGUAAGGAGAAGCUCUUGAUCGAAGCCCCGGUAAACGGCGGCCGUAACUAUAACGGUCCUAAGGUAGCGAAAUUCCUUGUCGGGUAAGUUCCGACCUGCACGAAUGGCGUAAUGAUGGCCAGGCUGUCUCCACCCGAGACUCAGUGAAAUUGAACUCGCUGUGAAGAUGCAGUGUACCCGCGGCAAGACGGAAAGACCCCGUGAACCUUUACUAUAGCUUGACACUGAACAUUGAGCCUUGAUGUGUAGGAUAGGUGGGAGGCUUUGAAGCGUGGACGCCAGUCUGCGUGGAGCCAACCUUGAAAUACCACCCUUUAAUGUUUGAUGUUCUAACGUUGGCCCCUGACCGGGGUUGCGGACAGUGUCUGGUGGGUAGUUUGACUGGGGCGGUCUCCUCCCAAAGCGUAACGGAGGAGCACGAAGGUUAGCUAAUCCUGGUCGGACAUCAGGAGGUUAGUGCAAUGGCAUAAGCUAGCUUGACUGCGAGCGUGACGGCGCGAGCAGGUGCGAAAGCAGGUCAUAGUGAUCCGGUGGUUCUGAAUGGAAGGGCCAUCGCUCAACGGAUAAAAGGUACUCCGGGGAUAACAGGCUGAUACCGCCCAAGAGUUCAUAUCGACGGCGGUGUUUGGCACCUCGAUGUCGGCUCAUCACAUCCUGGGGCUGAAGUAGGUCCCAAGGGUAUGGCUGUUCGCCAUUUAAAGUGGUACGCGAGCUGGGUUUAGAACGUCGUGAGACAGUUCGGUCCCUAUCUGCCGUGGGCGCUGGAGAAUUGAGGGGGGCUGCUCCUAGUACGAGAGGACCGGAGUGGACGCAUCACUGGUGUUCGGGUUGUCAUGCCAAUGGCACUGCCCGGUAGCUAAAUGCGGAAGAGAUAAGUGCUGAAAGCAUCUAAGCACGAAACUUGCCCCGAGAUGAGUUCUCCCUGAGACU
rnacentral:rRNA from 1 species